CCCUUCUCUCUCUCCAGUCCCCAGCUACUACCCUUCUCUCUCUCUCUCCAGUCCCCAGCUACUACCCUUCUCUCUCUCUCUCCAGUCCCCAGCUACUACCCUUCUUUCUCUCUCUCUCUCUCCAGUCCCCAGCUACUACCCUUCUUUCUCUCUCUCUCUCUCCAGUCCCCAGCUACUACCCUUCUCUCUCUCUCUCUCUCUCCAGUCCCCAGCUACUACCCUUCUCGCUCUCUCUCCAGUCCCCAGCUACUACCUCUCUCUCUCUCUCUCUCUCUCUCCUCUCUCUCUCUCUCUCUCUCCAGUCCCUAGCUACUACCCUUCUCUCUCUCUCUCUCUCCAGUCCCUAGCUACUACCCUUCUCUCUCUCUCUCUCGCUUCCUCUCUUUCUCUCCCUCCCUCUCUCUUCUUCCUCACCCUCUCCCUCCUUCCUCUCCCUAGCUAUCCCUUAGCCUCUACCUACUACCCUUCUCUCUCUCUCUCUCUCCCCGGCUCUCCUCUCGCUCCUCUCUCUCUCCUCUAGUCCUCUCUCUCCUCUCUCUCUCUCUCUCUCUCUCCAGUCCCCCACUCUACUCCUUCUCUUCUCUCUCUCUCUCUCUCUCUCUCUCCAGUCCCCAUCUAACUAUUACUACUAACUUCUCUCUCUCUAACUCUAGCUCUCUUCCCAGAGACUAGCUACUACCCCUCCCCUUCUCUCUCUCUCUCUCUCUCUCUCCUCCCCAGCUACUACCCUUCUCGUUCUUCUCCAGUCCCCAGCUACUACCCUUCUCGUUCUCUCUCCCUCCAGUCCCUACUACCCCUUCUCUCUUCUCUCCCUCUCCACUCUUCUCUCUCUCCCCAGUCCCCCAGUCCCCAGCUCUCACCUACUUAGCUUCUCUACUAUC
rnacentral:lncRNA from 1 species